GACGAACGCUGGCGGCGUGCUUAACACAUGCAAGUCGAGCGGAUCGGCGAACGGGUGAGUAACGCGUGAGUAACUGCCCCCCUCUCUGGGAUAACAGUUGGAAACGGCUGCUAAUACCGGAUAGUGGGGGAUGACUCGCGUCCUAUCAGCUUGGUGGUGGUGUAGUGGCAUACCAAGGCGAAGACUGGUAGCCGGCCUGCGAGGGCGAACGGCCACAUUGGGCUGAGAUCAGGACCAAACGCCUAAGGGAGGCAGCAGUGGGGAUUAUGGCACAGUGGGGGAAACCCUGCGGCAGCAACGCCGCGUGCGGGAUGACGGCCUUCGGGUUGUAACCCGCUUUCAGCCAUGACGCGGUAGUGGCAGAAGAAGCACCGGCUAACUACGUGCCAGCAGCCGCGGUAAUAC
rnacentral:rRNA from 1 species